rnacentral:rRNA from 1 species
UUUAUUGAGAGUUUGAUCCUGGCUCAGGAUGAACGCUGGCGGCGUGCUUAACACAUGCAAGUCGAACGAGAAUCAUUGGAUCAAGGAUUCGUCUGAGUGAAGGUGAGGAAAGUGGCGGACGGGUGAGUAACGCGUGAGCAAUCUGCCUUGGAGUGGGGAAUAACGGCUGGAAACAGCCGCUAAUACCGCAUGAUGUGUCUGUCUCGCAUGGGAUGGACACCAAAGAUUUAUCGCUCUGAGAUGAGCUCGCGUCUGAUUAGCUAGUUGGCGGGGUAACGGCCCACCAAGGCGACGAUCAGUAGCCGGACUGAGAGGUUGG